CGAGACUUUCCGAUGGCCGCGGCCCCGUUUCGGGGCUGAGGAACUUCCGGGCUCCAAAGAGCACGAUGGCGGAUAACGUCCGCCCAGGGUGACCUGAGAGACAGCGCAGCAGAGAACAGACCGCCAUGCUCCGGCAUGGUAAGGGUGAAACGGCGGUGUAAGAGACCACCGGGUCGUUGGUGACAACGGCCGCAUGGCAAGCCUCAUCGGGAGCAAGGCCAAGCAGAAGGCGUCAAGGGCUGCUCGCCCGAGCCUUCGGGUAGGCUGCUAGAGCCUGACGGCAACGUCAGGUCGAGAUGGAUGGCCAUCCGCAUGGAGACAUGUGACAGAACCCGGGGUAUGGAAGUCUCGCACC
rnacentral:RNase_P_RNA from 1 species